UACGAAGGGGGGCUAGCGUUGCUCGGAAUCACUGGGCGUAAAGCGCACGUAGGCGGCUUUUUAAGUCAGGGGUGAAAUCCUGGAGCUCAACUCCAGAACUGCCUUUGAUACUGGGAAGCUUGAGUCCGGGAGAGGUGAGUGGAACUCCGAGUGUAGAGGUGAAAUUCGUAGAUAUUCGGAAGAACACCAGUGGCGAAGGCGACUUCCUGGCCUGUUCUUGACGCUGAGGCGCGAAAGCUAAGGGAGCAAACGGG
rnacentral:rRNA from 1 species